GGUGGUGGUGGUGGCGGCAGCAGGAAGGGACAGCGACGGAGACGGCGGCGGCGGCGGCUCUCGGUUUGUGCGGCUUCCCGGGGCGAGGGGAGGAAGCCGGCAGGACAGGAUUAGAGGUCUCCGUGGGCCGCGGCUGCUUUGCUUCUGAAUUGUUGCCAAACGCUGCGUGGCUUUCCUCGGCGCUUUGUGACAACGCAAGCUUGUCUGUCAUGCGCGCCGCCCUCAUGCACCGCCGGCCAACCUGACACGUGCACCGCCUCCUCCCAACGAAGCCAGCCCGACACGUGGUUAUUGAGGUGAACUCGCCCCAUUACUUGAAACCAGUCUUCCCUUCCGUGACGCUGUGGUCCUGCAGGUGGAAGGAGGGUGACCACCUUGUCUUGAGGAUGGAGAAGCAUAAAGACCAACGGGUACUCUUGUCAUUCCCCGGACCACCCUGCCCUCCACUUACGAUCGAGACAGCAAUCAGGAGACCGACGCGAUGAAGAGGAAGCCUAGACAAGUCGGACGACUAGCGGCAGUGAAGACGAGGAGGGUUGGAGAUGAAGGGACCGCUUCAGGAUUGAACAAAUUAAGAGGCCAU